UCUGGAAUCCAGGUAGGAUCUUUUUCCUUUAACCCUUAUGAGGAGUCCAUAUGUGACUUUUGUGUACAGUGUAUAAAUCCAUAUUUCCUUAGGCUAUGCAUUUGGCCAAAUAACUGGCUUUUUUUCCUUUCCGCCAUCACCUGAUCUUUUUUUCUUAUAUUGUUUGCUGGAUAAUUGCAGAAUGCCACACAAGAUGACGGAUUGACGACCAGAUGAGUCUAUGGAUGCUCUCACAUCAACGAACACGAAAAAGCAGAGCGAUCACAACAUAAAUAGACAGAUUGCAGGAUGGAUGAAUUGAUAGAUCUUUUAGAGAAGGUCAAACUUCUGUGCGCACACUUUCAAACCAUCGGGAAAAGAAGAGAAAUUGAUUGCCGCUCACAAAAGGGUUGAAAUGACCAAGAAAUUAUUUUUCUGGGCAAUGAACAUUGUGAGUGAGUGAGAGAGAGAGAGAAAGGGGGAAAAAUGCCCAGCCUCUUUGUAUGAAUUGUCUCAAAAGUAACUAUAGUCAUCUUCAAGAUGUUGCCAGUGUUCUGGUCAAAUGGCCACUCUACCAGGUUUUGAGUUUCGGUACCUCAUCUGAAGUUUGGCCUCAAACGUAGCCUUCACAUUUCGCCGAAAGGAGAUGGUCAUGAUGUCAUCAUUUCACCUGUCAAGAGUCUGUCAAGGUUGCCUUGGAGACAACUGGCACUCGUGGAACCCUAGUGCCCCAUGGCACAGGCUUUCGAUUGUGGAUAUCACUGUUCCUCGAUUGAUGGACGCCUCCAAUCCACACUAUAUUACCCUGCUGGGUUGACAAAGAAGACAUCUAACACUCCCACCCCUUCCCACAGUGCAAAUAAAGACAUCUAGGGGAAAAAAAUGAAUCCUGCUUUAAUCAUAUGACGUCUGUGUGCACCAAGCCGUUCAAAUGGCGCGCCACUAAUGGACUGCUGAUGAAUAGACAAAGGGAACAACCAUCCACAGUGAGCAGAACAAAUAGGCCUCCAGCACAAAUGGAGAUUCGCUGUUGUGGGCUGCAGAUGCUAUCCACGGGACCCCGGAAAUCCAAGUGUUAAGUCGAUGUGAAUGCGCAGCGGCAGGUGAGUAAAGCUCUUUACUUUUUGACUAUAGACUACGUCUGAGUGCAGAACCGGUUUCAAAACAAAGAAUGUUCAUUUACAGGAAAAUAUAACUUGCCCGCACUGAAUGAUUGAGAGUGCAUAACAGGAUGCUGCCACCUUGGGUGUCUGUGAAUUUGCCCCUGUUGCAGACAGCAUUUUACUUUUCAUGACAAUGAUUAGAAAAACGUGUCACAUUACGCAGUGUGGUGUUUUAUAGCUGCGGGGUGCGGAACGGUGCGACGGGAAAGGGUGAGAAAGGAAGGGGAAUUGAAAGGUGAUGCA
rnacentral:lncRNA from 12 species